CUCAAAAUUCCAAGUUCUGAGUGUGCCUUCAUCGUGGGUGAAAAACAACAUAAUGGAAUGGCCAAAAAUUUCCAAUAGCGCAAUCGAGAACCUUAGGGUGAGCGGAUCGCCAUAUAAUGGAGCAUCGAAAAAAAUACCUGUUAUCGUCAGUGGUAGAUUCCGUCUAAAUGUGGUACAAAACCUAAAACUACAACUGCUGUAACAUCAGCCGCAAAGACCGAGGGAGCAGUACACCGUAAACCACUUGUAAAAACAACGCUGAAAAAAUCAGCAGUUUCUACUGCUUGUGAGAAUUUUGAAUAUUACGAAUCGAGUACUUCAUCUGACCUUCCUGUUCAAGAUUUGUUUGCCACAUCUGACGUCUGCCCAGAGACCAUGGGCGCUCCACAAUAUGUUCUCAUGGAUAGCGUGCCUGACAACGCCAUGCAGACAGUCAUAACGCAAUCAG